rnacentral:lncRNA from 1 species
AUAUGGCACAGAAGCCCUUGUAGCUCUGGGGUUUGGCAUUGGUGCCACUCAAAAGUAAUGCUGAGAGCUGAAGAAAAAGCUGGUUUUUAUCAUGCUCUGAGCUCCUUGAGUGCCUUACACAGUCUUAGCAGAGGUAGAGUGGCAGUGAAGUUUUGUAUUUUGAAUUUAUGCCCAUUCCAAGAGUCAUUAUCCAAGGAAUUCGAUAGUGGGAGGAUCUGAAUGGAUUCCAUUCUGUUUGUUGUUGUUACACCCGGUUUCAUUUUUCCUGCUGUAUUCCUGUGUAUAGACACAGCCUGUGUGUGACUGCAUUCCUGGUGGGAAAGGGUGGGAGAGCUGGAUUUUACCAUUUACCAUCCUAUUUAAGAGCUCUGGAAUGCUGUGAAGACUCCCUGCCCAGGCACACUCCUCUCCGGAUUAUCUCCAUCCCAAGGAAGCUCGUAUCCAAGAGGUACCAAUUCAUCCUCGUUUUGUGCCCUUCAGUUGUAGCACUUGGGUUUAGCUACUCCCCCAAAACCUUUUCUCUGCUCCCUCCAGACAGGAAAGCCUUGGAUGCCGUGGAGGUUGCAGCUGUUGCUGUUUGAUACGGUUCGGACUCUUCUUUCUAUUAAAUGAUCUUUGCUACAGAAGCGCUUUACAUUUUAAAAUGAGAAGUGAUUUCUGGGUCAAGAAAUGCAUAAGCUGAAGCUCCAGAAACACUCUGUGCCUGGUGUAUUUUAUUGUGUUGAUUUAGAAAGUUAAUAAACAUCAGGUCUUCAGCA